rnacentral:rRNA from 1 species
CAGAGGAGCCAAGCGUUGUCCGGAUUGACUGGGCGUAAAGCGCACGCAGGCGGACGCGCGCGUGGGGUGUGAAAUCUGGCCGCUUAACGGCCAGGCGCCAUCCCAUACGGCGCGUCUGGAGUGAUGCAGAGGUCGGUGGAAUUGCCGGUGUAGUGGUGAAAUGCGUAGAGAUCGGCAGGAACACCCAGGGGGAAACCAGCCGACUGGGCAUCUACUGACGCUGAGGUGCGAGAGCGUGGGGAGCGAACCGGAUUAGAUACCCGGGUAGUCCACGCCGUAAACGAUGGCCACUCGGCCUUUGGUGGCGGAAUCUCCGUCGCUGGGGGCCUUAGCUAACGCGGGAAGUGGCCCGCCUGGGAACUACGAGCGCAAGCUUA